UGAGUACAUUUUUGAUCAUCAGACAGAUGUAUGAUGUCUGUUUCUAUGGGUUGGUGUUCUGACCUCUCACCUCUGUUGUUGUGGUGACCUAUUACUCUUCAUUCUCCUCUCUCCCAGGGUCCCCUCCCUUCUUCCUACCUGUUUAGAAGUGUGGCCCAGUGGACUUCCCGGAGCUGCACCACCCUGACUAUAUCAUCUGCCCAAAGCUAUGAACGAGUAGAAGGGCAGGAGGGGCAGCUGUUCUUCUGCAGGAAGAGCAGCUGAUGAUGCUGUCUCUCUUUGGGCCAUCAUCACUAAAGAGCAUUUGGAGACAUUAAUGAGGGGUACAUAAGAAGAAGCUAAAAAAGAGCUUCUUCGCUAUCUCAUGGUCCAAGUUCCUCGAUAGGACAGGAUGGACAGAUGGAGACUGUGAGGAGUGUGAGGAGAUUUUGGAAUGGGAUUGACAGGUUGUGCAGGUGCCAACAUUUCCUAGUGCCGUUCCGGAGCUUCUUUGGAGUCAUGCUUAUUGGAAAAGCAAUGAAAACAUGCACAUCCAGAGUCUUUUUUUGUGAUCAUUACCUUCUGCAAGUUGUGGAGUGAAGCAGAUGGUGUCCCUCAUAGGGUGAGUAAUUUAAGCUUGUGACUUAAUUUAGGGGGGCUCAUGAACAAAUGGAAAGGAGUAUUUAUGCGUGCAUGGUUUCUGUGUGAUGGGGUGGGUGGGUAAAACACCAUGAUGUAUAGCAGAGGAGGAAAGGGUUAAAUGGAAAAGUGAAGGAUGGACGAGAGUCAUAUGUGCCACUAAGCCCCUUUGUUCUUGUUUAGGGCCUUUACCUGGGAAAACCCUUUACUAAACAAAAACUUUCUCUCAUGCGUUUAUACUUGAAUUUUUUUAAAUGAAUCUAAAAACCUCUAAUAGUAUCUUUUGUAGGUUGACAGUCAGUAUGUUCGGAUAUCAGCCUAGAGUCAUCUGCUUAACUCCCUAACAGUCUUAUUUAAGUAACAGUCCAGUUUAAUGGCAGAUUAUUUCUCCAACGUGGUAUGCAAGUUUAUUUCACAUGCUUCUUGAUUGUUUUAUUUGAACUUUAUUACGUGUGAUCAGAACUGAAUAUUUGGCUUGAUUUGGCCCUAUCUCGCCCUGUUUGGCUCCUAUCUAAUAGGAGAUUGAUUUUUGGGAGAGUUUAGUAGCCUGCAGAUGGUGAGAAUAUUAAAGGCUCUGAUGUAUACAGUGUGAUGGCUACACAUCUGACAGUGUCUCUGUCAAAGCCCUGUGGCCUGUGGGCCCUCUAAUCUCAACAUAUCACAAACACCCAGCCUGCAUGCAGUCUCAUAUAAAGACCCCAUAAUAGUUCUGUGGUCUAUAGUGACUGGGUGGGAUACAGUGUGUGUGCGUUGGGAGACUACAGUUACUACUUAUUUUAUUGUUUUCAGGGGGGUUAAUUCUGCAUGAAUACACCUGUAUGCUCUAAGAUGCCUCUAAAUUUGACUGUUAUUGUGUACCUGUAUGUCAUUUAUUGCAAAAAGUGAUGAGAGGCCUGGCCCAUGACAUUGUUCCAAAAUUAUAUCUAGCUUGUGAUUAUAUGAAAUCUUGACCUAUCCUGCACAUACAGUGCUGAGCAAAAUCUUUGACACCUAUGAAAAUUAAAAUAAAAUCUAAAAGUAAUUUACA
ensembl:lncRNA